AGAAAAUAACCCUAACAACACACAACAUUCCAGGAAUGUACUACCAAAGUUCUAUCAAUAUUUGAAUGUCCUGGACAUUUAGGGAACAUUCGGUGAACAUCUGUUUAAAUUAUUCCUGGAAUGUUACCAUAAGACAUUCUGUGAACAUACUACCAAUGUUCCUAUAUUUUAAGUUGCGAAAUAAUACAUACGUGUAACAGAUACAACAUUACUUAUAACAUACCAGACAAACUAAGUGACACUUUAGGCCUACAGUGCAAUAAUAUGUCAAAUUUAAAGAGUUUCCCAAGUUCAAUUAAUACAAUAUUAUAAACAUACAAAUGUAAUAAAAAUUAUUGUUCGCGAAUAUUCAAUUUGGAAUGCGAUUUUGUUAAUAAAAAAAUACUUAUAACUUAUGCAAAACCCAAGAGAGGCAUUUAUAUUUAUUUCUUUUGCGUUCAUUUUCAAAUUCGCCGUGCAUAUAUUUUUGUGCAUGGCGCUUGAGAGGGCAUCACGUGACUAAAAACGACCAACCAACGACCUCGCUUCGGCCAUCUUGGCUUGGCAUCUUCAUCUUGGCCACCUUGCUUUGCCGUGGGUGGAUCGUUGUUUCUAUUAUUUGUGCUUUUUAAGAAUAUUUUUUUAAUUCGGAUACUUUUAUAAUAGCUUUAAUAGUAUUAUUAACAUAGUGAAUAAAAUGGUGUCCUGUUUUUAACGCAGUUGGAGUAGCAGAAACAAAUGUAGAUAAAAAAAUCUGCAGGAAUAACGUUUCAAUUAUGACAGAAGCUCCAAACAAAUGACUGUGAAUGAAAAGCCCUAUUAAAAGCUUUCCAGAAGAUCCUGCGAAGAAGACAUGAAGUAUAGAUCAGAUUUGUUAAUAGAGGAGUAUGUUCAAAACACUUUUUAGAAAAAGAUAUUGACAGAACUUCACUUUCAUCUGUUCGUUUAAGAGACUGUGCUGUUCCAAUAGCUUAUGUCACACAGAAUCAGCUGAGAGAAGUGGUCUACAAAAAACCAGAAAGGAAACAGAAUAUGUGGCUACGAAAAGCAAAAGAAAGGUUUACAAAGCAAAUGUGACACAUUUUUUUAUAAUAUUUAGGAAUGUCAGUAAAUUACAUUAAAAAAUGUAUGUAAAGAUUUUUUGCAAUAAAAAUGUUUAUAUUUA